UCCGGUUUGUCACCGGCAGUCUCCCUAGAGUGCCCUUGCGUAGCAACUAGGGACAAGGGUUGCGCUCGUUGCGGGACUUAACCCAACAUCUCACGACACGAGCUGACGACAGCCAUGCAGCACCUGUGUUACGGCUCCCUUUCGGGCACAUCCAGCUCUCGCUGGGCUUCCGUACAUGUCAAGGGUAGGUAAGGUUAUUCGCGUUGCAUCGAAUUAAUCCACAUCAUCCACCGCUUGUGCGGGUCCCCGUCAAUUCCUUUGAGUUUUAAUCUUGCGACCGUACUCCCCAGGUGGAUCACUUAUCGCGUUAGCUGCGACACCUAAGCCAAAGCCCAAGCGUCUAGUGAUCAUCGUUUACUGCGUGGACUAC
rnacentral:misc_RNA from 1 species